UACGUAGGGACCAAGCGUUGUUCGGAUUUACUGGGCGUAAAGGGCGCGUAGGCGGCGCCGGUAAGUCACUUGUGAAAUCUCUGAGCUUAACUCAGAACGGCCAAGUGAUACUGCAGUGCUAGAGUGUGGAAGGGGCAAUCGGAAUUCUUGGUGUAGCGGUGAAAUGCGUAGAUAUCAAAGAGGAACACCUGAGGUGAAGACGGGUUGCUGGGCCAACACGUGACGCUGAUGCGCGAAAGCCAGGGGAGCAAACGGG
rnacentral:rRNA from 1 species